rnacentral:rRNA from 1 species
AUUGAACGCUGGCGGAAUGCUUUACACAUGCAAGUCGAGCGGCAGCGCGGGGGCAACCCUGGCGGCGAGCGGCGAACGGGUGAGUAACAUAUCGGAACGUACCCAGUCGUGGGGGAUAACUAUCCGAAAGGAUAGCUAAUACCGCAUACGUCCUGAGGGAGAAAGCGGGGGAUCGCAAGACCUCGCGCGAUUGGAGCGGCCGAUAUCGGAUUAGCUAGUUGGUGGGGUAAAGGCUCACCAAGGCGACGAUCCGUAGCGGGUCUGAGAGGACGACCCGCCACACUGGAACUGAGACACGGUCCAGACUCCUACGGGAGGCAGCAGUGGGGAAUUUUGGACAAUGGGCGCAAGCCUGAUCCAGCCAUGCCGCGUGCGGGAAGAAGGCCUCGGUUGUAACGACUUUGUCUAGGAGAAAUACCUUGUAGCUAAUACCUCGGGGGAGUGACGGUACCUGAAGAAUAAGCACCGGCUAACUACGUAGCCAGC